AUUGAACGCUGGCGGAAUGCUUUACACAUGCAAGUCGAACGGUAGAGGGGGCAACCCCUCGAGAGUGGCGAACGGGUGAGUAAUAUAUCGGAACGUGCCCAGUCGUGGGGGAUAACGUAGCGAAAGUUACGCUAAUACCGCAUACGAUCUAAGGAUGAAGGCGGGGGAUCGCAAGACCUCGCGCGAUCGGAGCGGCCGAUAUCAGAUUAGGUAGUUGGUGGGGUAAAGGCUCACCAAGCCAACGAUCUGUAGCUGGUCUGAGAGGACGACCAGCCACACUGGAACUGAGACACGGUCCAGACUCCUACGGGAGGCAGCAGUGGGGAAUUUUGGGCAAUGGACGCAAGUCUGAUCCAGCCAUUCCGCGUGCAGGAUGAAGGCCCUCGGGUUGUAAACUGCUUUUGUACGGAACGAAAAGGUCUCUCUUAAUACGGGGGGCUCAUGACGGUACCGUAAGAAUAAGCACCGGCUAACUACGUGCCAGCCGCCGCCGUAA
rnacentral:rRNA from 1 species